AUAAAAUUCCAAACCAAAGGCGAAUUAGACGAAAAAGGAGUUUAACAGGUCGAAGAGAAGAGAGCCGUAGUCAUGCAGGAUCUAUGGCAAGUUAUUUCAAAGCUGCCCUAAACUCCGUAGUUCUUCCGGAGUAUAGUUCGCUUGGGGGUUUGACUAAUAUAUGUUUACACUGUAAAGCAAAACAUUUCGGAAGUGAAAAGGUAAGAAAUGGCUUUACGACAUGUUGUCAUGGCGGAAAAGUUAAACUUCAAGAAUUACGUGUACCUGAGUUUUUGAAAGCUGUGUUAGAAAAUGAUUUGAGCUCUUGGCGGGGACACUAUUUGGAGAAUAUUCGGCAGCUAAAUAGUUCGUUUGCUUUUGCAU